rnacentral:rRNA from 2 species
UACAGAGGGUGCAAGCGUUAAUCGGAAUUACUGGGCGUAAAGCGUGCGUAGACGGUCAUGUAAGUCGGGUGUGAAAGCCCCGGGCUCAACCUGGGAAUUGCAUUCGAGACUGCAUGGCUAGGAUGCGGAAGAGGGAAGCGGAAUUUCCGGUGUAGCGGUGAAAUGCGUAGAUAUCGGAAGGAACACCAGUGGCGAAAGCGGCUUCCUGGUCCAGCAUCGACGUUCAGGCACGAAAGCGUGGGGAGCAAACAGG